UCUAUGACUCAGUGGUAGAGCAUCUGGUUAGCAUGCAGAAGGUCCCAGGUUCAAUCCCUGCGUCCCUAGUGAAAAA
rnacentral:tRNA from 1 species